GGAACGGAACAAAGUUCACAUCGUCAUCAACAACAGUGGUGGUGCUUCUACCAAUGAGAGAGAGAGACAGAGAGAAAAAGAAACACAAAGAGACAGACACGACAGAAAAGACAAAAAAGAGAGACCAUUAAGAGAAUCACGAUUUUUACCUCUGGGCUGAACCGACAACCUUUUUUCUCUGAGGAAUUAUUCUCUGGAUUAUUUCCCUAACCUCUGCACUGAGACGUAUUGUGACGCACUGACUGAAUUAUAAAAGUUUCUUUUAAGUCCUUUAAGUUACGUGGCUGCCAUCGCCAAAGCCUCACCUUUGACCUCCACUUACAUGCAAGCUACUGGAGACUAUUUAACACAGCAGUAUGGAGGUGCUCAGUGGCCCCUGGGCUGAUGUGGCUCUGCUCCUGCGACAGACCAUCAUGCAGACAGACAGAGGGACAGACAGUUUUCUUCCUUUCUGGUUCUUCAGCCUGCUGCUGUUCCUGUCUGUCUGUCUGCUGCUGCUGCAACUGAUUAUCUACCUCAGCUGGAAACUCAGACAGGUUGAGGCUGAUCUGUGGGGGUUUCCAGAGGACAGAAGCGCCAUCCACAGGCAGAUACACAGAAGUACACACCUGAGGAGGAGGAGCGUUGGGUAGCAUUCAUACACCUGACCGGACACACACACACACUCAAUAUGAGUUCAAACUGUCUCUAUAGCAAUAUGACCACUGUGGAGACCAUCAUGGACGUGGGAGGGACAUAUCUCAUAAGCUGUCACAUGAGAAUAAAAGUUGAAGCCUGUAUAGAAAAUCUUUAGCUGUCAUAGAUCUGUGAAAACCAAUGCUGUGCCUCUUGAAAAACUCAGGAAAAUUUGGAAGCCAUUUAAACAGCUGUCUGUACAUAUGUACAACAUCUGUAUGAAGAAUCUUACACAUGAAGAACAGUAGUAUUUUUGGUAUAGUGAACACUUAGUGUACACAUUAUUACUACCUGACUAUGACAUCAACUCAUGUACAUUAACAUACAACAUUUACAUGUUUUGAAUCACAACUGAAAUGAAUGAAUGAGGAAAUGGACUGACCAAACAGAUUUCAGAGUAUAACAAUCCUUUAUUUAAACAGUGUUACACUGGGGAGGAGUGGCUGUGCGUGGGGAGACACAAGACAGUUAAGCUGCUAGAUAGAAAAACCCUACCGGUGAUCAUUGGUUGGCUAAGAAAGAGCAAUGAGGCAGCUGGUUGGUUUUCCAAAACUCAGUUCUUUAUAAAGUUUUGUGGAAAGUGAGUUUUUACUUAGUUAAAAUACAAAACUUUGCUGGUUUUAAUUGACUUUAUACCACCUCAUCUGUCCAAACUGUAGUACCAAGCCUGAGCUUUAUGUGUAAAGAAUAUAAUUGGCGUCAAUUAUAAAACAUUCAUCUCAUCAGCCCCCACACAGAAAGUCAUGUCACUGUGUCAGAUGAAAGUUACAAUGCCCUCCAUAAUGUUGAGAUCCCUGACAGUUUUAAAAUCAGCUGGCGUAGAAUCAUCUGUUUCUUAUCCAUGAGUAACAUUAUGGAGUUGCCUUGGUAACUGCUGGAAACUUCCAAUGGUCCAACUCUUGUCUAUUUUGCUUUUUCAUCUUAAUAAAAGUUACUGUCAUUCA